GUCUUACUCAAGCGGAAACAUGUCCCAUCUUUUAUACUGCGCAUGCGCGAGCUAAACAAGUGUAAUGCAGUGUUGACAAUAGAAAAUUAUAUUGGGAAGUUGUUAUUUCUACAGUAAAAACAGCUUUUUUUCAAGUAGUACGAAAUGUGACUUCGAUUUACCUGUGGAACUAUUUGAACAGAAGGUAAAGCAGUAAUUUUGUUGUAUUUAGAAAGCAAACAGGGUCAUAUUUUUAAAAAUAUAGCGCACUGAAUAUAAAUUUGAGCUCAUUAAAAUGUGUUCGCUAUGAUGCCAUUUUGUCUCCGGUAUAUACGGAGUUCCGCUUUUAUACUUGUGGAUAUUCGAAUUUAUUUGGCUCAAAAACACCAUUACUUCAAUAUCCCUUUCUUGUUUUUCCUUGGAUAGGUUUUAACAAGAUAGAACUCGAGAUUACUUGGGUCCAAAGACGCUAGAUUAUAAAAUCUUGAUUUGACUUGAUACUACAAAUAGAAUAUGUCUUUUAUUUAAUACUACAAAUAGAAUGUCUUUUAAGUACAAACUUCAAUGAAUUGAUAAAGUGUAAGGAUAGUGUUUAAAGUCGCUUCAUGUGUAGAAGCUGAAUUACUUUAGUUUAUACACUGUAUAUUGUCAAGAUCACAUGUUGAUAUGACUUACUAGCAACUUACUACAGACUUACUACUUGUUUAUAAUACUUUAGAGUUUGGACAUUAGAACAUUGCAAUUGCCUGACAGAGACUGUUAGGGCCUGUUUGUAUGGAAGCCGGGCUGGCC